rnacentral:rRNA from 1 species
AACAGGAUUAGAUACCCUGGUGGUCCACGCCGUAAACGAUGAACACUAGUUUUUGGAGGUAUUGACCCCUCCUGGAACGUAGCUAACGCGUUAAGUGUUCCGCCUGGGAAGUACGGCCGCAAGGCUGAAACUCAAAGGAAUUGACGGAGGCCCGCACAAGCGGUGGAUUAUGUGGUUUAAUUCGAAGCAACGCGCAAAACCUUACCUGGGCUAGAACUCCUCGGAAUCCGAUGUAAUGGUUGGAGUGCCCGCAAGGGAAUCGAGUGAGAGGUGCUGCAUGGCUGUCGUCAGCUCGUGUUGUGAAAUGUUGGGUUAAGUCUCGCAACGAGCGCAACCCCCAUCUUUAGUUGCCAGCAUUAAGUUGGGCACUCUAAGGAGACUGCCUGGGUUAACCAGGAGGAAGGUGGGGAUGACGUCAAGUCCUCAUGGCCCUUAUGUCCAGGGCCACACACGUAACACAAUGGUACGAACAAAGGGACGCGAACCAGCGAUGGGGAGCAAAUCUCAAAAAACGUAUCUCAGUCCGGAUUGAAGUCUGCAACUCGACUUCAUGAAGUUGGAAUCGCUAGUAAUCGCGGAUCAGAACGCCGCGGUGAAUACGUUCCCGGGCCUUGUACACACCGCCCGUCACACCAUGGGAGUUGGUUCAAUCUUAAGACGUGACUCUAACCGCAAGGGGGAGAGCGUCUACGGUGGGGCCGAUGACUGGGGUGAAGUCGUAACAAGGUAACC